CGACCAUCUGGGACCUGCUGCGCCGGUUUUUCUGGUUUCCGGCUACCAGGGGGCGCUAGGACCCAAUCGGACGUGCUAGGAGGGGCGGCGGCCAAGUGGUCCGGGAGCCGCGCGUUCGGGUGUGGGGGACCGUAGCUUGGACCCGGGAGGGCUGCAAGCCUACUCAAGCUGCUUUUCUUCUUCCAUCACCUUCUCCUUUCGCUGUACACGGGCCACACAGUGGAACUGCAGCGGUGAAAACGACUGAAGUCGGGGCGCUGUAACCUCCUGACCACCCUGAGGAGCGGCAGCGGAAACACAAGUAAGAAUGGAGGAUGCUCUUCUCCCUAGAAGCUAACAAAGGGUCAAGUCUUUCUCUGUGAAAUGGCUGUAGAAUAUAAACAGAGGCUCCUGGCAUUUCCCUCCUGGCUCAGUUCAAGAACCACCCACUCCAAGCUGUCUUCCUGGAUUUUCUCAGCCCAAAGUAAUCCUUCUUUUUCUGAGGUAAGUUAUAAAUCUUGUUAUUGUUCAGUUGCUAAGUCGUGUCCAGCUCUUUGUGACCCCAUGGACUGCAGCAUGCCAGGCCUCCCUGUCCAUCACCAUCUCCUGGAGUUUGCCCAAGUUCAUGUCCUUUGAAUCGGUGAUGCCAUCCAACCAUUUCAUCCUCUGUCACCCCCUUCUCCUGCCCUCAAUCUUCCCCAGCAUCAGGGUCUUUUCCAGUGAGUCAGCUCUUCACAUCAGGUGGCCAAAAUAUUAGAGCUUCAGCUUGAGCAUCAGUCCUUCCAGUGAAUAUUCAGGGUUGAUUUCCUUUAGGAUUGACUGAAUUGAUCUUGCUGUCCAAGGGAUUCUCAUUGCUCUUGGUUUAUUUGUUUUAUUUAGACUCCAUUCACUGUUUUACAAUCAUACCCUUUGCUUUGUACUUAUUUGGCUUUGUUUUGGGCCAUGCCACGGCAUGUGGGAUCUUAGUUCCCCUGCCAGGGAAGUCCCUGUACUUGUUCAUAUUCAUGACUUCUAUCCUCUACCUGAUUUUAAAUUCCUUGAGGGAAGGUACUUAGGUUGUUCAACUUUAAAUGAAUAAUUUUCUUUCUCAUCAUCAGGUACAAAAGAGGUUCAACAGUGAGGUAAGUUGAUAAGUUCCCCAGUGUACUUAGAAUCUAAUCUUUAAUUUCUCUUGUUUCUAGUGAGGACUUUUCCUGUGAAAUACUAGUAAUUUCCUUUGUCCCCAGCAAUCUCCUUUGUAACUUGAAGCCUGUUUUCUAUGAUUUUCUUUGCCAUGGUGUUGAUGGAACUACUUCCACCAGGGGGAGCUCCUUACUAUAUCUAGGUCAAUUUCUUUUUCUUUAGAGGCAAAAGAAAGGAGACUUCAUCAGGCAAAAUAUUGAAGCAGUGGGAAUACAAACAAUAGGAAGUAGGAACUUGCGACUUGGGACUUGAUUUGAUUCCAGCACCAGUUGGCCCAAAUGCCAUUCACUUGUCAUAUUGGGUUUUGGUAUGAUUCUGGCCCAUGUGUAAAGAUUUCUCUCUCCCCAGCCAUUUAUUUCAUCUACAGAUAUAUAUUAAUCAUGUACUUUCUGUCAAGUAUUGCAGAUGCUGAGCUUCAUCUGUGAACAAAACCUACCGAGUCUCUGACCUCAUGGAACUCAUGAUGUGGACUCAGGGCCACACAGGAACAACUCACAGCAAACUACAGGGACACUCAUGACAGGUCUGUGCCCAGGGAAGUCCACCAAGUCUCCAGGUCUGAGGCAUUUAUGAAACAAAACUCAAGUCUCAAAUGAAAGGAUCCCUGAAGACUUCCUUAUGGAUUUUGUCUCUGGGAACAUGGCUCAGCAGCAUGGACACAGAAAGAGCAGUGGUGGCUGAUUGCAUUGAUCCGGAUUUGGAAGUUGUUAAAGCAGAAGGAUAAGACUCUUGAGAGUCCCUUGGACUGCAAGGAGAUCAAAUCAGUCAAUCCUAAAGGAAAUCAACGCUGAAUAUUCAUUGGAAGGACUGAUGCUUAAGCUGAAGCUCAAACUUCAAUACUUUGGCCACCUGAUGUGAAGAGCCGACUCACUGGAAAAGACCCUGAUGCUGGGAAAGAUUGAAGGCAGGAGGAGAAGGGGACCACAGAGGACGAGAUGGUUGGAUGGCAACACCGACUCAAUGGGCAUGAACUUGGACAAACUCUGGGAGAUAGCAGAGGAUAAAGGAGCCUGGUGUGCUGGGAUCCAUGCGGUCUCAAAGAAUCAGACAUGACUUAGCGAUUGAACAACAACAACAAUCUCUUCCACCACUUCCUCAACCUCACCCUGAGUGAUCUUCUCCACUCUUUUCAGUUUAAAAUAUUUUUAUUCAAUGCAUAUAGUUUUUUUUUUAAAAAAAAGCAUGCCAAAGGCUUAUACAAAAGGCUUAUACAAAGUGAUAAGCAGAAGACCCUAUGCCCAUCCCUUUCAUGCUUCCCAAAAGCAAUAUCUUUUUGAAGUAUUCCUUACAGUGUUUACCUCAGUCAUUGAAAAUAAUGAUUAUCCCACUGUUUCUUUAUUUUUAUUCCAGUAAAAUAUACAUUGCACAGAUUUACCAUUUCGACUAAUUUAUGUGUACAGUAGCAUUAAGUACAGUAGCAUUAAGUACAGUUGUGUUGUGGUACAGACAUCACCACGAGCCAUCUACAGAAGUUUUUCAUUCUCUCAAACUGAACUUCUGUAUCCAGUAAACAGUAACUUCUCAUUCCCUUCCUGCCCAGCCCCUGGUAAUGACUCUUCUAGGUCAUGUCACUAUAAAUUUUAUUCUAGGUACAUCAGAUAAAUGGAGUCAUACAAUAUUUGUCCUCUGUUGUCACACUUAUUUCACUUAGCAAAUGUCUUCCAGGGUUGUCUAUGUUGUAAUAUAUAUCAGAAUUUCAUUCCUUUUUAAAGGUUGAAACAUAUUCUAUUUUGUAUACAUAAAACAUCAUAUUUUAUUUGUCUUUUCAUUCAUUGAUGGACAUUUGAUCUAUUUCUAUCUUUGGCUAUUAUGAAUGUGCUGCUAUGAACUCAAGUGUAUAAUAUCUGUUUGAGCCUCUGCUGGCAUUUCUUUGGGACAUAUCUAUAUCUCCAGAAAUGGAAUUAUUGGAUCAUAUGGUAAUUCAGUGUUUGCUUUUCUAAGGAGCACUGUGUUGUCUUCCACAUUCUACUGUUUUCUUAUCAAACACUUUUUAAACAUCAUUUACUGAUUUUGUGUUAUGGUACCUGAUGAUCUAUCCACUCUUAAAGUAUUCUCUAGGCCUUGUGUACUGAUGACUUCCCAUCUAUAUUUCCAGCCCUCACUUUCCCUUGAGCUUCAGGCUUAUAUUAUCCAAAUGCUUACUGGACAUCUCCAUGUGGAUGUUAAGCUCACCGUAUGCAGAGCAUAAAUAAAAUGCUUACCCCUGCCCUUACCCAGACUUUCUCUUCCUCUGGUUAUUAUACUGCCCCUUCAUCAGUGAAUGUCACUAAUGUCUACCCAAUAACUCAAACAAGAAACCUG
ensembl:lncRNA